rnacentral:lncRNA from 1 species
GGUUACCAAAGUGUCAACUUCAGCAAAGCCUCAGCAAGAUUGGUAAUGAUUAAGCACCCAUCUGCUGCAGUCUUUGAGACUUUAUGAAGAUCUGAGAAAAGGAAAAAAAGUGGAUAAAGAGUGUGCACUUCUGUUGGGGCAAUGACUCCGGGGCGGAAGAGGCUGAAAGAAAGGACCAAUGCAGGGAGGAAAAGAAAUUGCCCAACUCCUUCCAGGGAAUGUAGAUGAAAACAUAUAGACACAAUUGGGAGAAAAUUUGGGGCAGCUGAUCUGACUAUGAACUGU